rnacentral:rRNA from 1 species
CCCUUAGAUGUCCUGGGCUGCACGCGCGCUACACUGAUGCAUUCAACGAGUAAUCUUUGACCUUGGUCGACAGAUCUGGGUAAUCUUUUGAAAUUGCAUCGUGAUGGGGCUUGCGGGUUGCAAUUACCCGCACCAACGAGGAAUUCCUAGUAAACGCAAGUCAUCAACUUGCAUUGAUUACGUCCCUGCCCUUUGUACACACCGCCCGUCGCUCCUACCGAUUGAGCGGUCCGGUGAAGACUCAGGAGAUGGGCGCGUGCUUGGUUCGCCAACUGCGCUGCCUGCCAAAUUUGUCUAAACCUUAUCGCUUAGAGGAAGGAGAAGUCGUAACA